GACACGGGGUUCAUUUGCAUAGCGGCCCGGCGUGUGCGACUGGGGGAGGUGGUGUUUGUGCCCGGGGCGCGUUGCGAGUUUGAAUCCACAGCGGCGGCGGCAGUACAGCAGGAGCGGCAGCGGCUGCUCGGGCGGGAGCUGCCGCGGGACGCGAGGGCGCAGUCCUACAGGAAGGUAUGAAGGAGAGUGUUGCUGCAGAUACUAAGAAUUUCUUGGAAGAGAAGAAACCAAACACAAAAACCACUGCUGUUUGAUACGUGAUCUUGGGUAGGUAAUUUCUCAGUUUCAGACCUAUGAACUGGGGCUAAUGAUUGUUGUCAGGCAAAUUGUAAAAUAUAUUUGUUAACAAUUUCAUGAGGAUUUAUGCAUUUUAUGAAUUGUGGUAACUGCAUCCACUAAUUAUUCUUGACGUAUAGCAGUUUUUAUCUUAUAUGCUCCAGAACUACCAAGUUAAAUUUUUAUGUGUAUAUAACUGAGGGAGCAUUAUAUUAACAAUUUUGGAUUCUUCUUACAUUUUUAGUUUGGAGAACUUAGUACAUUUCUUGGAGUAAACAGUAUUUUUAUCAGCUGCAACCUUUCUACCAAGUGUAGCAGUGCUGAGCUGAUGCUUUCUGUGAUAAUAUGGAACAGUGUUGUAUUUUGUGCUAUGAAAUAAUUUACUGAAAGUGUUUUGGAUGUUGUGUAGACUUAAAACUAAUCAUGGUACCGUUCAUUUGUAAAAUGAUUCAACAAUAAUUAUAUGCAUCAAUUUAAAUUGUUAUUUUGAUGACUUUUUUUGUGAAACCACUUAUUUUCUACCCCAUUUGAAGUCUGUUUUCAAGGAGAUGCUGAUUCUAAUAGAUACAUCUUUUUUGCCACGUUUCCUGUACCUUCAUAAGCCGUAGUUUGUUUUAUUGUACUCAUUUCAAAAACUUACAAAACCAACAUUAACUAUAGCAUGUGAAUUUCUCUAUAAAAGCUCCUUUGGUAAUCCCUCCUCUGGGAAUGUAAAACACAUAAGCAUAUGCUUUCCUACCAUCAUGGAAGGUGAUUUUUCCAGCCG
rnacentral:lncRNA from 1 species